rnacentral:rRNA from 1 species
UACGGGGGGAGCAAGCGUUGUUCGGAUUUACUGGGCGUAAAGGGCGCGUAGGCGGUCAGCACAAGUCAGUUGUGAAAUCUCCGGGCUUAACUCGGAAAGGUCAACUGAUACUGUGCGACUAGAGUGCGGAAGGGGCAACUGGAAUUCUCGGUGUAGCGGUGAAAUGCGUAGAUAUCGGGAGGAACACCAGUGGCGAAGGCGGCUUCCUGGCCUGUUCUUGACGCUGAGGCGCGAAAAGCUAGGGGAGCAAACGGGG